rnacentral:lncRNA from 1 species
CAACGUUAAAAGAAAGGUUACCAACAAAGAGCUUAAGGUCAGGAGAGAAGGAGUUACGCUCCACAGGCGCUGAAUCGUCACCGUCAGCGAACAUAUCAUCUUCCUCCACCUCAAAAUCCGAAGAUACAGCAACGUUUCUAACGAAACGCGACGGGUACUCGGCGGGGGAUGAGCAUUUGAGGGCGGAGGAAGCGAAGAUAGAGACGAGGUGGUCGGAGUGAAGUUUGAAGGAGAGGGAAGGAGGUAAGACGGAGACGGAAGCGGGUCUGGAGACGCAGAGAGGAAGGGAUUUAGGAUUGAAAGCAGAGAGGGAAGAAGCAGAGGCAGACAUGGCUAAAGCUUGAGAGAAUUUUGCUCUCGAGGCUAAAGCUUUGAGAAGCUGGUGGUGAAGAGAUAAGGUUUAAGGGUUCUGC